UGGGAUGACGUCAAGUCCUCAUGGCCUUUAUGCCCAGGGCUACACACGUGCUACAAUGGGCGGUACAAAGAGCAGCGAGCUCGCGAGAGUAAGCAAAUCUCAAAAGGCCGUCCUCAGUUCGGAUUGGAGUCUGCAACUCGACUCCAUGAAGUUGGAAUCGCUAGUAAUCGCGGAUCAGCAUGCCGCGGUGAAUACGUUCCCGGGCCUU
rnacentral:rRNA from 1 species